AUAUAUCAGAUAUACUUGUCCUCGGGGCUGUAUAUAGCAUACAUCCCUCGUUCUCGUUAUUUCUAACAUAAACACGUUUCGAGCUAUUAACUCUCAUAUUAAUUCCUGCCGUCUUUUGCAGCUGACAGUUGGCCUGAUGUUCUGGACGACAGCAAUGCCCGUACUGACUGGGGAUGGAAAGCACAUUUUGAUUUAACAACUAUGACUAAAACUAUGCUAGAUCUUUUAACACCCAAAUAUAAAUAAAUGGUGGAAAAUAUCCAUUCCAUAAAGUGGAAUAUAAUAACCUUUAAUUCUACUAAAAGUAACAAUUAAUUUAACACUCCAAAUAGCUUAGACCAGCCAAUUUUGCCAAUGAUAACUUUGUACGAAAAUAUGGUGUCAUUCAGUAACGAUUCAGUGAUCGGAAUGUUCCAUUGUUUUUUUUAUUGUUUUGAAACUCUCAUAAGAUAAUUAUCUUUAAGCAUUAAUAUAUGCAGUAAUAUAACAUCAAAGAUUUUAUUUAUAAUUUGCUACCGACUUAAAGUUGUGUAGAGCCUAAUAUGUCAAAAUGUGUCAGGAACAAUGUGUAGGAGUCUUAUUUAAAAAUGAGUUUGUUUAUGUUAUUUAUCCAGAUCGUAACAUUGAAUGUAGAUAUUUAACAAUUUUUACUAGUUAAUUGUGUUGUACACUAACAUAGGAAGACUUUUUUCAACAAUAACCCUUUGUCUUUAUAUAAUUAGUUAUAUUGAAUACAAUUUUUAUAACCAAUGGCAAUGCGGGGUUUAUUUGUGGUGUUUGUAGACCAUAUUCUCUGUUUUAUCAGACAGAAUUCUCCGCGUGAAUUGACCAUUUGCGUAAUAGACUAAAUUUUGAUCUCAACAAAAAUUUCAUUACAGCUUGAAAGAGCAUCACAAAAUUAGUAAUAUUCCAAAGUUUCGUUGCAAAAUGUUGUAAAAUGCGGAUAAUAUAGCCAUGCGAAAUUUGCAAUUUUCAGUCAUUUUAGAUUACAAACCGGAAAUUGACAGCCUUGAAGGGUUUGGGGCUGUCAAUUUCCCGUUUGUAAUCUAAAAUGACUGAAAAU